rnacentral:lncRNA from 1 species
UCAACUCUAGCAACCUAAACAUGCAUAUAUCGAUUGCACCAAGAUCUAAAUAGAUAGUACCGCCACGCGGCUGCAUACCAUCUAAGUUCUUUUAAAAUGAUCUUAAGCACCGUCACGCCACAGUCGCCACUGCGAAACCUAAGACAAGCAAUCAUAGAUACACAAUCUCAAUUGAUCGGGCAUGGUUUAGAUUACAUAGAAUAUCAUUCAAUAGAGAAACAUAGGAUGAACACGAAAUUGAUAUGCUAAAUUAAAGAUGCAUACAUUGUCACAUCCCGACUUAAAUUUUUACCCUAAUUAGUAGCUUGGUAUUAAUAAGAGUUUUACCAUCUUUGUAAAUGAGUUUAUUGUUUUCAAGUCCGUAGGGGGGUUUUGAGGGACGAUUAUUUUGGAGGAAUUAUUUUCGUAGGAGAAAUAGUGGAAGAUGGUAAAAAGGGUAAAAUUUUGGUUAGUAAAAGGAUUAUUGGGUUAUGUUUUUGGGGUGUAUUUUUAUUUAGUGUUGGGUUUGAAAUGGUUGGGUUGUGGAACCGGUUUGGAAAGCCCAAACCUUAUUUUCUCUCUCUCUCUCUCUCCCCGACUCUCUCUACUCUCCCCUGAUUUUCCUUCCUCCGCCAACGUUCUCCGCCACUGCCUGCCGCCGUCCAGCCAGCUCCGACUACCGCACUAGUCCCGAUCGAACCAGCGUCUUCUCCUCUCCAUUUCUGGUUAGGUGAUCGAGCCUCUACCGCCGCCGUGUGGAGGAAAACGCCACUGGAAGUCCAGCUGCCCUUCCGCCGGAACUCCCUCCUCCGGCCGCCAUAGUCAGCGAUCCUUGGCUCAUCUUGUAGCCCUCAUCUAGGGUGGUAAUCCCGCUAAAGGUUUUGGUUCGAUUCGUGCUUGGUAAGGAGAAAUCAGUGAUUGAAACUCUAGGGUUCAAUUUACUGUUUUAAGUCGAUUACUCUAUCUAGGCUGGGAAUUGGUGUUUGUGGUAGUUAUGAAAGUUGUUUAGAUUGUUGAGAAGAUGGUUGUGUUAAAAUUUGGUGGGCAUUGGAGGUGGUCGGAAAAGGGCUGCCGGCCGCUGCUGUUAGGAAAUUUUUCAGGGUUUUAAGGUUGUUAUAUUAAGGGGAGUCUAAUAAUGUGAAGUUUGGAAGAGUUUUGGAUAGGUUUAUGAUUUUUCAAAGAUUGAAGAUUUUGUUAAUGGGGUAGAAUCCGGCCGUGGGAUUAAUAUUGUUAAGACUGUAGAAAGUUAUAAUAAGGCUGUCGGUAUUUGUGGUGAAGUAUGGACCGUAUCGAAUUAAGAAUAGCGAAGUUAGUCAAGGAUGAGCGUGUUAAAACUCACAUUUAAUUUUGCCUAUUUUUGUAUAAGUAUUAAAUUUUAGUUGGCAAUUUAAUUAUGUAUUUGGAACAGAAUGUGAGGAGCCUCGAGCAGAAGAGGCCUCAGAUCGACAUUAGGUUUAGGCCUAAUUUGUGAGUGGACUUUUGUUUUAAAUAAUAUGCAUGCUAUGGUUCAUGGUUGAACAAUUUCUUUUGUUGGAGCAUUUGAUGUCGUUUUAUUUUGACGAUUUUAUUUAUUUUGGAGAGUUACCGAAAAUGGGAUUUUUUGGUGAAUAUAAAUAUUUAUUUAUGAGGAGAGUAUGUAUAUAAAUGCUAGCUAGCCAGCCAUAUGUGUCUGUCCACCGUAAUGGCGUAGUAUAUAACCGCAUUAUGGUAUGAUGUGAGCGUUAGACGCAAGUGUAGCAGACCUAUAUGAGUGUUUAAUUCAUAUAGGGGGUAUGAGCACAUAUUUAUACACCCGUUUGUCCACUUUAAUGGAGUAGUGUAUCACCGCAUUAUGGUGUGACGUGAGCGUUAGACGCGAGUGUAGUAACCCUAUAUAAAUUACUUUAAAUCCAUAAAAUUUAUAUAGGGAGUAUGGACGUGUGUAAAUACAUACAUAUAUAUUUUUAGACCUUGAGAGGCUCAAUAUUUAUGGGUUACCAGUUUUAUCGUUUGAGGUAUGCGUUCGCUUUUCUUUGGAAAUAUAAAUUGGGAAAGCAUAAAUAUUGUUAAUUAUUUUUAUUUAUUCGUUUUAUUUUUGUCCACUCACUCUAACAUUUUCGAAUGUUUUCCCCUGGGCCCUUUGUUUUUAAAAUGUCCAGUCUGCAGAGUUCGGGUUGGUACUAGUAGGAGGCGAGGCAUAGUUACCCACAUCUCCACCACUUUUCACCAAUAGGUUACAUGUUUAACCUACCAGUGUAUUUUCUUGCUUCCUCUAGUUUUUAGUAGCGCUGAUUACCCUUGGGGAUAUUGUAUAAUAUUUUGGUGGUGUGCUAAGACUUAUGAUUACAUUUUAGAAUAUUCGAAGGAUGAAGUUUGUUAUAUUAGUUGGAUAUUUAUGUGAUGAAUUGGAGGAUGGUUUUAUUGUUAUUUGGGGGUGGUUGUGUUUGUGGGGAGUGGGUGGCUCCAAGAGUUGAGGAUGGUUGUUUCGUUUUAGAAGUGCUAUUCCGAAUUUUUCAGGUUAGGGUUGUCCAUUUUCAAGGGAAGUUAUGCCGAAUUUUUCGGUAAAUUUUCUUUCGAGGUGGACUCCGCAAGAUUUAAUUCGGGUUUCAAGAUGAAACUCGAGAUGGAUCCUGACAUACAUCAUAAACAAUCAACAGAGAAAAAUAAAUACUUCUGAAUUAAACAACUAAAAUAUUGAAUAAAAUACAUAGUUUACACUCUUUGUUCUUCGA